GGUUGACUUCAGCAGCUAAAGCUUGAGAGCUGAGCUUGGCACCAAGAAAACCUGUCUGCAGCUGAGCAGAGGAGCAUCAGCACUCCUCUGGUCAGAAUCAAGUAGAAAUAGCUCUGCAGAACUGACAGACUUGGUUCUAAAAUUGAACGCUGUAAUCAGUGAUAAUGAAGGUAAAAGGAACGGAGUGACUGGUGAAUUAAUUCUCUGUGUGGGUGACUGUGCAACCUUAUACUGAACCCCUAAGAAACAGAGAAAACUAAUUUUUGCAGGCAUCUGCCUCUUGGGAAUUUACAGACUAAUCUAUUUAAUAUUUGAAAGGUAGUACCUCUAAUAUUAUCACUUCAGCUUUGUGCACCAAAGUACUGGGUUAAAAUAGUGCUUCAGAGGAAACUAUUUUAUGUCCAAGGGAAACUUGGUCUUGGGACUUAACUUCUACAGCUCUAUUCCAGUUUUGGGGUAUCAGGACCUUUCACAGGGUAUUUAAGACAGCACAUGGCUUUUGUCUGAACAGGCAAAAACUUCUCUUGUUGUCUUCCUCUUUCACUUCUGGCUGGGAGGCUGGUC
rnacentral:lncRNA from 1 species